GGGGAAUAUUGCACAAUGGAGGAAACUCUGAUGCAGCGACGCCGCGUGAACGAUGAAGGUCUUCGGAUCGUAAAGUUCUGUCCUAGGGGACGAUAGUGACGGUACCCUAGGAGGAAGCCCCGGCUAACUACGUGCCAGCAGCCGCGGUAAUACGUAGGGGGCGAGCGUUGUCCGGAAUUAUUGGGCGUAAAGGGUUCGUAGGCGGUCUUUUAAGUCAGAUGUGAAAGGUCACGGCUCAACCGUGGUAAGCAUUUGAAACUGAAGGACUUGAGUUAAGGAGAGGAAAGUGGAAUUCCUAGUGUAGCGGUGAAAUGCGUAGAUAUUAGGAGGAAUACCAGUGGCGAAGGCGACUUUCUGGACUUAUACUGACGCUGAGGAACGAAAGCGUGGGGAGCAAAC
rnacentral:rRNA from 1 species